GAUGAACGCUGGCGGCGUGCUUAACACAUGCAAGUCGAACGGAAAGGCGCCUGCUUUCCGGGUCACUCGAUAGCCGAACGGGUGAGUAACACGCGUGGGUUCUGUCCUUCACUUCGGGGUAAAACUUGGAAAAAGGGGCGCAUAUCGGAUAUGACAUUGGGAUGGAUGUGAUUGUGGAGAGUGAGACGGUAUUGGAUGGGCUCGAGGCCGAUUCGCUGGGUGGUGGGGUAAUGGGUUACGAAGGGGUCGACGGAUAGCCGGCAUGGGAGGGGGUACGGGCACCAUGGGACUGAGAUAGGGCGCAGACGCGUACGGGAGGCAGUAGGGGGGAAUAUGGCGCAAUGGGCGCAAGCCUGAGGAAGCGGCGCCGCGUGGGGGAUGACGGCCUUCGGGUUGUAAACAACUUUGGCAGGAGACGAAGCCCAAGUGACGGUACCUGGAGAGGAAGCACCGGCUAACUACGUG
rnacentral:rRNA from 1 species